rnacentral:tRNA from 1 species
GCUGCCGAUCGCCCACGGGGAGCCCGGGUCGUUCGGGCCGGCCUCGAGCGUGUUGUUCGGGCCUUUGCGGAAGUC